ACAAGCGGAGGAGCAUGUGGUUAAUUCGAUGAUACGCGAGGAACCUUACCUGGGCUCGAACGUAAGAUGACUGUAGGUGAAAGCUUACAUCUCUUCGGAGCAUUUUACGAGGUGCUGCAUGGUUGUCGUCAGCUCGUGCCGUGAGGUGUCGGGUUAAGUCCCAUAACGAGCGCAACCCCUACCUUAGUUGCCAUCAGGUUAAGCUGGGGACUCUAAAGGAACUGCCUACGCAAGUAGUGAGGAAGCGGGGAUGACGUCAAAUCAGCACGGCCCUUACGUCCAGGGCUACACACGUGCUACAAUGGCCGAUACAGAGGGCAGCUACCUGGUGACAGGAUGCAAAUCUCCAAAGUCGGUCUCAGUUCGGAUCGGAGUCUGCAACCCGACUCCGUGAAGUUGGAUUCGCUAGUAAUCGCGCAUCAGCCAUGGCGCGGUGAAUACGUUCCCGGGCCUU
rnacentral:rRNA from 1 species